rnacentral:lncRNA from 1 species
GGUGGGGGUCCCGGUGGGCCGCCUGGAGCAGCGGGUGGGGGCUCUGAGGGGUCGCACCCCAUACACCGUCCGGGUCCGCGUCCGCCCCGACGGGCUGAGCUACGGCGGCUAUUGGAGCCCGUGGUCCGAACCCAUCACUGCCGUCACCGCCCCCGAUGUGGACCCGGUGACGGUGGGGCUCUCCUCUCUGCUGGCGCUGCUGCUGCUGGGGCUGGCAAUGCUCGCGCUGCUCGGACAGCGGCGGAAGCUGCAGGAGAAGCUGUGGCCGCCCGUGCCCGGCCCUGAGAGGGAAUUCGAGGGGCUCUUCAGCGCCUAUGGGGGCAAUUUUCAGCUCUGGCUGUACCAAGGGGUGGUGGAGCCCUGGAGCCCCCCCGGAGGCACCCCGGAAGCCGAGGAACAGCCCAGUGCCGUGGAAGAGGUGGGGCCCCCCCCCGGGCAAAGAGCCCCCCCCCGGGGACCCCCCCGUCUGCCCCCCCUUCGGCCCCCCCCAGCGGCCCCUCGCCCGCCUCCAGCUUUGAGUACACGCUGUUUGACCCCGGCUCGGCCCUGCUCUGCCCCAGGGGGCACCCCCAAAUCGCCCCCCCCCCACGACCCCCCCCGGCGGCCCCUACGCCAACCUGGCCCCUCCCCACAAAGGGUCCCCCCCCCCCGAGGAGGGGACCCCCCAAAGAAACCCCCCACGACAGGAGACCCCCACGGGAGCUUCCGUGCAAUGGGAACCCCCCCGGGACCCUCCUGGCGUUGGGGCCCCCCCCAAUGCCCCCCCCCUACGUGCUGUGCUCUUAAUGGAUGGGGGGGGGGGGAGAGGGGGGCGGAGGGGGGGGUUGGGGACACCCCCCGGGAUGGGGUGACACCGAAUGGAGGGGACACGGCGACGUGAGGUCACGUGGGCUCACCACGACACGGGGACGUGUCACACCACGGCACGAGGAUGGAGGGGACGUGUCAUAGUGACGUCACGUGGGCUCACCAUGACACGAGGAUGGAGGGGACGCGUCAUAGUGAUGUCAUGUGGGCUCACCAUGACACGAGGAUGGAGGUGACACACUGUAGUGAUGUCACAUGGACUCAUAGUGACAUCACAUGGACUUACCAUGACACGAGGACGUGUCACACUGUGACACAUUGAUGGAGGGGGACACAUCAUAGUGAUGUCACAUGGACUCACCAUGACACAAGGAUGGAGAGGACACGUCAUAGUGACGUCACGUGGGCUCACCAUGACAUGAGUACAGAUGGGACACAUCAUAGUGAUGUCAUGUGGGCUCACCAUGAGACGAGGAUGGAGGGGACACGUCAUAGUGACGUCACGUGGGCUCACCACGACACGGGGACGGAGGUGACACACUAGUGAUGUCACAUGGACUCAUAGUGACAUCACGUGGACUCACCAUGACACAAGGAUGGAGGGGACGCGUCAUAGUGACGUCACAUGGGCUCACCAUGACAUGAGGAUGGAGGGGACACGUCACAGUGAUGUCACGUGGACUCACCAUGACAUGAGGACGGAGGUGACACACUGUAGUGAUGUCACGUGGACUCAUAGUGACAUCACGUGGACUCACCACAACACGAGGACGUGUCACACUGUGACACAUGGAUGGAGGGGACUCACCACGACACGAGGAUGGAGGUGACGCGUCAUAGUGACGUCACGUGGACUCACCACGACACAAGGAUGGAGGGGACACACUGUAGUGAUGUCACAUGGACUCACAGUGACAUCACGUGGACUCACCAUGACACGAGGAUGAGGGGGACACAUCGUAGUGAUGUCACGUGGACUCACCAUGACACGAGGACGUGUCACACCACGACACGAGGAUGAAGGUGACACACUGUAGUGAUGUCACGUGGACUCAUAGUGACAUCACGUGGACUCACCAUGACACGAGGACGUGUCACACUGUGACACAUGGAUGGAGGUGACGUGUCAUAGUGAUGUCACGUGGACUCAUCACAACACUCGAGGACGUGUCACACUGUGACACAUGGACGGAGGGGACUCACCACGACACGAGGAUGGAGGUGACGCGUCAUAGUGACGUCACGUGGACUCACCACGACACGGGGACGGAGGGGACACGUCGCAGUGACGUCACGUGGGGACACAGCGGGGUUGUGGGGGUGGUCCCGUCCCACCCCCCCCCCCCCCCCCAAUGUCCAUACGCCGAAUUGGGGCCACUCGUGUUGGUUUGCCACUGUUUUAUACAAUAAAGCACUCGUGAGCGCACGCAGCGCCUCGGGGGGGGGUGGGGUGGGGUGGGGGCGGUGAUAAGGCCUUAUCAGAGCCCCCAGGGCCGGGGGGGGGCACAGCACGCGCUCAGCCCCACGCUGUGGGUGUCGGGGGGGGGGAGGGGGGUGGCUGUGAGGGCACUGAUAACGUGGGCUGUCCGCUCGUGUCGCCUCCUGGCACCUCCGGACACCUCCGGACACCUCCGGACACCAGCAGUGCGGCACGGGGGCUCGUGGCACCUCGGUUCCGUGUCGUAUAGGCACUGUGACAUCUGGGUCCCAUGUCACCUUGGUUCCGUGUCGUAUAGGCACUGUGACGUGGGUUCCGUGUCACCUGGGUUCCAUGUCACCGGGGUUCUGUGUCACCUGGGUUCUGUGUCACCUCGGUUCCGUGUCGUAUAGGCACUGUGACGUGGGUCCCGUGUCACCUGGGUUCUGUGUCACCUGGGUUCCGUGUCGUAUAGGCACUGUGUCACCUGGGUUCCGUGUCACCUGGGUUCUGUGUCACGGUGUUCCAUGUCACCUGGGUCCCAUGUCACCUUGGUUCCGUGUCGUAUAGGCACUGUGACGUGGGUUCCGUGUCACCUGGGUUCCAUGUCACCUGGGUUCUGUGUCACCUGGGUUCCGUGCCAUAUAGGCACUGUGACAUCUGGGUUCCGUGUCACCUGGGUUCUGUGUCACCUGGGUUCCAUGUCGUAUAGGCACUGUGUCACCUGGGUUCCAUGUCACCUGGGUUCUGUGUCACCUGGGUUCUGUGUCACCUGGGUUCUGUGUCACCUGGGUUCCGUGCCAUAUAGGCACUGUGACAUCUGGGUUCCGUGUCACCUGGGUUCUGUGUCACCUCGGCACUGUGUCACCUGGGUUCCGUGUCACCUGGGUUCUGUGUCACCGGGGUUCCGUGUCGUAUAGGCACUGUGACGUGGGUUCCGUGUCACCUGGGUUCCAUGUCACCGGGGUUCUGUGUCACCUGGGUUCCAUGUCACCUGGGUUCUGUGUCACCUGGGUUCUGUGUCAUAUAGGCACUGUGUCACCUGGGUUCUGUGACAUCUGGGUUCCGUGUCACCUGGGUUCCAUGUCAUAUAGGCACUGUGCCAUCUGGGUUCCAUGUCACCUGUGUUCCGUGUCACCUGUGUUCCGUGUCACAGUGUCACCCAGGCUCCGUGUCGUGCCGCACAGACUCUGUCACCUGCAUUCCAUGUCACCCGGGUUCUGUGUCACACAGGCAUUGCGUCCCCUGGGUUCCAUAGCACUCGGGUUCCGUGUCACCUGGGUUCCAUGUCGCGUGGGUUCCAUGACACAUAGGCAUUGUGUCACCCGGUCCCAUGUCACCAGGGCUCCAUGUCACCUGGGUUCUGUGUCACCUGGGUUCCGUGCCAUUUGGGUCUGUGUCACUCAGGUUCUGUGUCACCUUGGUUCCCUGUCACCUGGGUCCCACGCCACAGUGUCACCCAGGCUCCGUGUCACUGUGCCAUGCAGACCCCAUGUCACCUCGGUUCCGUGUCACCUGGACUCCACAUCACCCGGGCUCCAUGUCACUGUGUCACCUGGGCUCCACAUCACCUCUGCUCCAUGUCACCGUGUCACCUGGGCUCCACAUCACCUGGGCUCCAUGUCACUGUGUCACCUGGGCUCCAUGUCACCGGGCAGCUCUAUGUGACUGUGUCACCCGGGCUGCACAUCACCUGGUCUCCAUGUCACUGUGUCACCUGGGCUCCACAUCACUGGGGCUCCAUGUCACCGUGUCACCUGGGCUUCAUGUCACCAUGUCACCUGGGCUCCACGUCACCUGGGCUCCAUGUCACCGUGUCACCGGGCAGUUCCAUGUCACCGUGUCACCUGGGCUCCACAUCACCUGGGCUCCAUGUCACCGUGUCACCUGGGCUCCAUGUCACCUGGCAGCUCCAUGUCACUGUGUCACAUGGGCUCCACAUCACCUGGGCUUCAUGUCACAUGGGCAGCUCUAUGUCACCGUGUCACCCAGGCCCCACAUCACCUGGGCUCCAUGUCACUGUGUCACCUGGGCUCCACAUCACCUGGGCUCCGUGUCACUGUCUCAUGUGGGCUCCAUGUCACCGGGCAGCUCCAUAUCACCGUGUCACCUGGGCUCCACAUCACCUGGGCUCCAUGUCACCUGGCAGCUCCAUGUCACCGUGUCACCUGGGCUCCACGUCACCUGGGCUCUAUGACACUGUGUCACCAUGUCACCGUGUCACCUGGGCUCCACAUCACCUGGGCUCCAUGUCACUGUGUCACCUGGGUUCCGUGUCACUGAGUCAUGUGGGCUCCAUGUCACCUGGGCUCCAUGUCACCGUGUCACCGGGCAGUUCCAUGUCACCGUGUCACCUGGGCUCCACAUCACCUGGGCUCCAUGUCACCGUGUCACCUGGGCUCCAUGUCACCUGGCAGCUCCAUGUCACCGUGUCACCUGGGCUCCACAUCACCUGGGCUCCAUGUCAUUGUGUCAUGUGGGCUCCACAUCACCUGGGCUUCAUGUCACAUGGGCAGCUCUACGUCACCGUGUCACCCAGGCCCCACAUCACCUGGGCUCCAUGUCACUGUGUCACCUGGGCUCCACAUCACCUGGGCUCCGUGUCACUGUCUCAUGUGGGCUCCAUGUCACCGGGCAGCUCCAUGUCACCGUGUCACCUGGGCUCCAUGUCACCUGGGCUCCAUGACACUGUGUCACCUGGGUUCCAUGUCACUGAGUCAUGUGGGCUCCCUGUCACCUGGGCUCCAUGUCACCGUGUCACCGGGCAGUUCCAUGUCACCAUGUCACAUGGGCUCCACAUCACCUGGGCUCCGUGUCACUGUGUCACAUGGGCUCCGUGUCACUGUCUCAUGUGGGCUCCAUGUCACCGGGCAGCUCCAUGUCACCGUGUCACCUGGGCUCCACAUCACCUGGGCUCCAUGGCACUGUGUCAUGUGAGCUCCACGUCACUGGGGCUCCAUGUCACCGUGUCACCUGGGCUUCAUGUCACCAUGUCACCUGGGCUCCACGUCACCUGUGCUCCAUGUCACCGUGUCACCGGGCAGCUCCACGUCCCCGUGUCACCUGGGCUCCACAUCACCUGGGCUCCACACCAGCCAGGCUCAGUGACACCACAACACCCGAGGGCUGCACAUCACCACCCGACUCACCCUCAGCCUUCAUCCCCACUGCCAUCUCCGUCCUCAUCCUCGUCCCCAUCGCCGUCCCCAGGCCCGGGGGUGACGUUCAGCCCCCCGUGGGGCUCGAAGCGCAGCCUCCAUCCCCGCGGCACCGAUCCGGGCAGGACGAGGCGGACGUUCACCCGCAGUGGGACCCCGGGGAGGGGUCUCAGACGGCACUCAGCCGGGAAGUAACGGCGCAGGACGGGCAGCACACGGGGCCCGGGGGGGGGCACACGGAGGGCAGCCAGGAGCCGGGCCGGGGGUCGGGG